rnacentral:rRNA from 1 species
UACGUAGGGUGCAAGCGUUGUCCGGAAUUAUUGGGCGUAAAGAGCUUGUAGGCGGUUUGUCGCGUCUGCUGUGAAAUUUCGGGGCUCAACCCCGAACUUGCAGUGGGUACGGGCAGACUAGAGUGCGGUAGGGGUGACUGGAAUUCCUGGUGUAGCGGUGGAAUGCGCAGAUAUCAGGAGGAACACCGAUGGCGAAGGCAGGUCACUGGGCCGCGAACUGACGCUGAGGAGCGAAAGCAUGGGGAGCGAACAGG